rnacentral:rRNA from 1 species
AUUGAACGCUGGCGGCGUGCUUAACACAUGCAAGUCGAACGGUGAAGGUGGAGCUUGCUCCGCCGGAUCAGUGGCGAACGGGUGAGUAACACGUGGGCCACCUGCCCCAGACUUCGGGAUAACUCCUCGAAAGAGGCGCUAAUACCGGAUACGAGUUCUGCAGGCAUCUGCGGAAUUGGAAAGUUUUUCGGUCUGGGAUGGGCCCGCGGCCUAUCAGCUUGUUGGUGAGGUAACGGCUCACCAAGGCGACGACGGGUAGCCGGCCUGAGAGGGCGACCGGCCACACUGGGACUGAGACACGGCCCAGACUCCUACGGGAGGCAGCAGUGGGGAAUAUUGCGCAAUGGGCGAAAGCCUGACGCAGCAACGCCGCGUGCGGGAUGAAGGCCUUCGGGUUGUAAACCGCUUUCAGCAGGGAAGAAGCGAAAGUGACGGUACCUGCAGAAGAAGCACCGGCUAACUACGUGCCAGCCGCCGCCGUAAUAC